UGGGGAAUAUUGGACAAUGGGCGAAAGCCUGAUCCAGCCAUGCCGCGUGAGUGAUGAAGGCCCUAGGGUUGUAAAGCUCUUUUGUGCGGGAAGAUAGUGACGGUACCGCAAGAAUAAGCCCCGGCUAACUUCGUGCCAGCAGCCGCGGUAAUACGAAGGGGGCUAGCGUUGCUCGGAAUCACUGGGCGUAAAGGGUGCGUAGGCGGGUUUCUAAGUCAGAGGUGAAAGCCUGGAGCUCAACUCCAGAACUGCCUUUGAUACUGGAAGUCUUGAGUUCGGGAGAGGUGAGUGGAACUGCGAGUGUAGAGGUGAAAUUCGUAGAUAUUCGCAAGAACACCAGUGGCGAAGGCGGCUCACUGGCCCGAUACUGACGCUGAGGCACGAAAGCGUGGGGAGCAAACA
rnacentral:rRNA from 1 species